GUGCUCCCUUGGGCAGCACAUAUACUAAAAUUGGAAUGAUACAGAGAUUAGAUGGCUUCUGCACAAGGUUGACAUGCAAAUCUGUGAAGCGUUCCAUAUAAAA